UAGAGUUUGAUCAUGGCUCAGGAUGAACGCUAGCGACAGGCCUAACACAUGCAAGUCGAGGGGCAUCGGGGCGAGGAGCAAUCCUUGCCGCCGGCGACCGGCGCACGGGUGAGUAACGCGUAUGCGACCUGCCCGUUGCAGGGGGAUAAUCGGGAGAAAUCCCGUCUAAUACCGCGUAAUGCCGCGGGGCUGCAUGGCCCUGCGGCCAAAGGGAGCGAUUCCGGCAACGGAUGGGCAUGCGUGACAUUAGCUAGUUGGCGGGGCAACGGCCCACCAAGGCGACGAUGUCUAGGGGUUCUGAGAGGAAGGUCCCCCACACUGGUACUGAGACACGGACCAGACUCCUACGGGAGGCAGCAGUGAGGAAUAUUGGUCAAUGGGCGCGAGCCUGAACCAGCCAAGUCGCGUGAGGGAUGACGGCCCUACGGGUUGUAAACCUCUUUUGUCGGGGAGCAAAUUCCGCCACGUGUGGCGGAGUCGAGAGUACCCGAAGAAAAAGCAUCGGCUAACUCCGUGCCAGCAGCCGCGGUAAUACGGAGGAUGCGAGCGUUAUCCGGAUUUAUUGGGUUUAAAGGGUGCGUAGGCGGCCUGCCAAGUCAGCGGUAAAAUUGCGGGGCUCAACCCCGUACAGCCGUUGAAACUGCCGGGCUCGAGUGGGCGAGAAGUAUGCGGAAUGCGUGGUGUAGCGGUGAAAUGCAUAGAUAUCACGCAGAACCCCGAUUGCGAAGGCAGCAUACCGGCGCCCGACUGACGCUGAGGCACGAAAGUGCGGGGAUCAAACAGGAUUAGAUACCCUGGUAGUCCACGCAGUAAACGAUGAAUGCCGGCUGUCCGGUCCGACUGAGGCUGGGUGGCGAACCAA
rnacentral:rRNA from 1 species